rnacentral:tRNA from 1 species
GGAAGUAUAGCUCAGUGGUAAAGCACAUGUUUGGAAUACACGAGGUGCUGGGUUCAAUUCGCAGUGCCUCCG